GUUCACUUAAUUAUGCAAUUUCAAUAGCAAUUUCAGAUAAAGCUCCAUUUUCCCCAGUGAAGAAUUAUUAGUUGCGCGGUUUCAAGAGCCAUUAAAUUAAUCUCUCCCUCUCCCUUGAGUCGGUUGUGCAACUGAUCGUGGUAGUUUGGUUUUGAGCAGGUGCGGAAAGAAGCAAGAGCCACUUAGAACCUUUGUUGGUAUUUAAUCUAGCCAGUUGGUGGUGUUUGCUGUUGAAGGGGGAGGAUGGUUCACAUGGGAAUCCGCCUGUGAGUGUGCGAAUGGCUGAUCCAAGGCUAUAAAGAUUGAUAUGCCUCAUGCACCCUGCAAUUUCAGCCACUAGCAAAUUCUACGGUUUGGAUAGAUCUAAAGGCUUGGGUCUAGCGGCGCAUGGGGUUUUGCUUCAGUGCUUCAGAGAGCUAAAUGACUGUAUUGUUUUGUCUAUGUUGUGUUCGACAUCUCUCCAUUGCUACUCUAGCUUCGGUCAAAGCCGUCCAGAGAUGCUUUUUUGGUGUCAAGUGUGACCUCAGUUAUGUGCAUUGAAGAGUUGCUAAAAGGUUGCUGACGAUCUCAAUGCUGGUGGACGGUUCUCUGAGUUAGGUUUCUUUGGGUUUGGGUUGGCUUGAUACAAUAUUUAUUUACUGCUAUAUAUUAUCAUGAUCGGAUAGACAUUUAUUUGCUUGUUUUGUUU
rnacentral:misc_RNA from 1 species